rnacentral:lncRNA from 1 species
GAUAAAGCUUCCGGGUACUGGGCUUCAGAGGGAAUAGAUGAAACCUAGACCUCCACAAAAUGGAAAAUGCUAUCUGUUGGCAUACAGACUUCAGAUAAGUGAGAACUGAAGACUGAACUUAGAGCACUGUUCUUUGUUCUAAACUUCUUCUUGCGGAUCCUGGACAGUCAUGCCCAAAGUCCAGAGCAUAAUAUUCCUUUCUGCUGACCUCAAGUUUUUAGACAAACCUUCGCUUCUUUAACCAAUCACAAAUCCGAGAAUCUUUAAAUCUCCCAAUAACGUGUGACCCCUUGCUGCAAGAUGCCCCACCUCUUUAGACCAAAUAGAUGUAUAGCCUCCAUGUAUUGAGUUAUGGCUUUGCCUGUAACUCUGCCUCCUUGCCUUUAAAACCCCUGCAUGUAGGCCACUGAGGAAUUCUGGUCUUAAGCAUCCUACCUGAUUCUCCGUGCUUGGAGUCCUGAAAUAAAUGCCUCACUUUCUCUGGCUGCAAAUGCCAAUGUCAGUGUUUGGUUUUGCUCUGCCAGAUUUUUACAGAUUUUCUGGAAUAAACAUUUCUUAUUUGCUACAUGUCUUUUAGGCCAUUUUCAGAAACUCUAUACAGUUGAGUCUUUCAAAAAAUAAUUUUAACCCAUUUCCCUAGGGAGUGGGUCCAUGAGAUCCUCAUACUGUUGUGCACAAGUCUCUCCUCUGGUUGUUGAUUUUUAUGCAGAGACUGAACCUUAAUAUUCCACAUUCUAAAAAAGUUUAUUUUGAUGGAUUAUAAUUUAAGUGUGGUAAACUAUGGCCUGCUGACAAAAUCCAGCCAAACUGUUUUUGUAAAUAAAAUUUUCUAAGAACACAACCUUGCAUAAUUUGUAACAUAUAAUUUAUGGUUAUUUUUGUCCUACAAAGGCAGAGUUGAAUACUUGAGACAGAGACUGUAUGGCACAUAAUAGUACAAAUAUUUGCUAUCUGGUCCUUUGCAGAAAAAUCUUGUUGACCUCUGGAUUAGAUGAUAAUAUCCAGCAGGGUAAUAGACGGAGGGUAUCUUGUUUCUUUAUACCUCAAUGAUUUGAUGGGUACACGCAUUUACUUAUAAGUGAUCUGGCAAGAAAGAAUGUUUGUCUUCCCAAACUUUAGUUUAGAGGAUGUAAAGCUAAGCAUGACCUAAACUAUUAGACUACUGUCUUAGCACAAACGUCUUCAGAAGCACUUUUUUUUGUCAAAUUGAUUCUACUUUCUCACCUGAAAAGUUGGCCUGCUUAGGUAAGCCUAAAUACUAGGUAAGAGGUCAGAGGGCAUUAGAAAGGCACAAAAAGACAUAUUCCUGCCAUUUUAAAAGGAUUUAAAUAGAGGUAAACAUUUAUAGAAAAUAUAUUUUGCCCCUGUAAAAUGAUUUGUACACAGAAUAAAAUCAUUCAGAAAUGUGCAAAGAAGAAAGCAAAUUUCAUUCGAAGUCCUGACUUUAAUCUUCUCCAGUGGAACAGGUACAUCCUCCUGAGCCCUGGACCUCUCUCUGGUUGAUGGUCCUUGGUUUAUUCUGAGCUGGGUUUUAUUUUCCCCAAGGAAGUUGUUGUGUAAGAUCCUAAUUUCUAGUUUAGAGGUACAUUCUAAAGGGAUUUCUUAAUUGCCCUUUUCUAAAGAUAAGGAGAAUGACCCCCUUUUGAGACCCCCCACUUGGUUUCCAGUUUGAAGGUGCAUUCUAAAGGGUCUUCUCCAUUGUUUUUUCUCCCCAAAUUAAACUCAGUUGACCUGUCUGUGCAUUGGCAUGAGAAACUGAAGUGUUAUUUUCACAGAUAAAUAAGACACUGAGCUCCUCAGCUCUGAAGAAAAGGAGCAUUUUGCUCCUCUCAGCGGAAAGGCACCCCUGGGUGACCACAGGCUGAAUGGGAGUAUCUGGGGCAUUGACCCCCAUGACAUAUGGUGGCCCUACAGAGAACCUCCCCAAAAACUUAGUUCAAAAAGCCUUAUCUAGGAAACACAUGUAAGACCUGAUCACUAUGUGUUUUGGACCAUCUCAAAGGUGCUAGACCUCAAGAGAGAGAAACUGAAAUAUGUAAGAGGGCAAAAAUGAUUCAGUGGUGAAACACUGGAAUCCUGCCCACAAUCAGCACACAUUGAUCCGCCACACUAAACCCUAAGCCACAACUCAGAUACUUCUUUUAGGGAAAAAAAGGUAAGAAAGAGAAAAUCUAAGAAUGAAGAAAGAUAAUGAGAACGACCCCCUUUCAGGCACCUCAAUGGUUCUAUGGCACCUCUACUUGCAAGUGUUUGUGUAAAAUGGAAAGGUUCCAGGGCAUGCCAGUUUUUCUAGCUCUGUACAUAUCAUGGUCUGCUGUGCACACUUUAAACUCAUGGACAAAUUACAUCAAGGGAAAAUCUGGAGUCCAGAGGCUGACCUUCAACUAACUAUAGAGUUCCUAAGUUCUCUAUUUUCUUUUCUGCUGUUACUCUUCUAUUGAGAUAAAAACGACUGUUUGGAUCCAAUCACUUUUUUUUUAAACUGAUGAGUUUGUAUUAGCAUCUCAUGGCUGGAGUUCUGAAGUAAAAGCUAUAUGAUCUUUUUAUGAGUGCCUAUGUAUGUAUUUAUGUUUACAUACUGUAUUUUAUGUGUUGUUACCACAAGGUACCAAAUUGGCUUAAAGUUAAGGAGUAGUCAUAAAUUAAGUGAAUAAUAAGCCCAAAUGUUUUUUAAGUUCAUGUGACUUAACUAAAAUCUUUAAUAAAUAACCUGGCUUUAAAAUUAUUGGUAAAGUAAUAUUAGAGAUGUCUUAAGAAUUGUCAGC